UACGGAGGGUGCAAGCGUUAUCCGGAUUCACUGGGUUUAAAGGGUGCGUAGGUGGGUUGGUGAAGUCAGUGGUGAAAUCUCCAGGCUUAACUUGGAAACUGCCAUUGAUACUAUUAAUCUUGAAUACCGUGGAGGUCAGCGGAAUAUGUCAUGUAGCGGUGAAAUGCUUAGAUAUGACAUAGAACACCAAUUGCGAAGGCAGCUGGCUACACGAAUAUUGACACUGAUGCACGAAAGCGUGGGGAUCAAACAGG
rnacentral:rRNA from 1 species